UCUUGCGCAAUGGGCGAAAGCCUGACGCAGCCAUGCCGCGUGAAUGAUGAAGGUCUUAGGAUUGUAAAAUUCUUUCACCGGGGAAGAUAAUGACGGUACCCGGAGAAGAAGCCCCGGCUAACUUCGUGCCAGCAGCCGCGGUAAUACGAAGGGGGCUAGCGUUGCUCGGAAUUACUGGGCGUAAAGGGCGCGUAGGCGGAUAGUUUAGUCAGAGGUGAAAGCCCAGGGCUCAACCUUGGAACUGCCUUUGAUACUGGCUAUCUUGAGUUCGGGAAAGGUGAGUGGAAUGCCGAGUGUAGAGGUUAAAUUCGUAGAUAUUCGGGGGAACACCAGGGCCAAGGUGACUCACUAGGCCGAAUACUGACUUGAGGCGGAG
rnacentral:rRNA from 1 species